rnacentral:rRNA from 1 species
GACGAACGCUGGCGGCGUGCUUAACACAUGCAAGUCGAGCGGGGUUUAUCGGAUUAGCUUGCUAAACUGAUAAACCUAGCGGCGGACGGGUGAGUAACGCGUGAGCAAUCUGCCUCAUACAGGGGGAUAACAGGUGGAAACACCUGCUAAUACCGCAUAAGACUCCACUACCGCAUGGUAGAGAAGUCAAAGGGAUUACCGGUAUGAGAUGAGCUCGCGUCCCAUUAGCUAGUUGGUAGGGUAAAGGCCUACCAAGGCGACGAUGGGUAGCCGACCUGAGAGGGUGAUCGGCCACACUGGGACUGAGACACGGCCCAGACUCCUACGGGAGGCAGCAGUGGGGAAUAUUGCACAAUGGAGGGAACUCUGAUGCAGCAACGCCGCGUGAGUGAAGAAGGUUUUCGGAUCGUAAAACUCUGUCAUUGGGGAAGAAUAAAUGACGGUACCCAAUGAGGAAGCCCCGGCUAACUACGUGCCAGCAGCCGCGGUAAUACGUAGGGGGCGAGCGUUGUCCGGAAUUACUGGGCGUAAAGGGUACGUAGGCGGCUAUAUAAGUCAGGUGUGAAAUACCAGUGCUUAACACUGGAAUUGCAUUUGAAACUGUGUAGCUUGAGUGCAGGAGAGGAAAGUGGAAUUUCUAGUGUAGCGGUGAAAUGCGUAGAGAUUAGGAGGAACACCAGUGGCGAAGGCGACUUUCUGGACUGUAACUGACGCUGAGGUACGAAAGCGUGGGUAGCGAACAGG